GACGAACGCUGGCGGCGUGCUUAACACAUGCAAGUCGAACGAAGUGGCGAACGGGUGAGUAACGCGUAAUCAACCUGCCCUUCAGAGGGGGACAACAGUUGGAAACGACUGCUAAUACCGCAUACUGAAGGAGGGGAUUGCGUUUGAUUAGCUCGUUGGAGGGGUAACGGCCCACCAAGGCGAUGAUCCGUAGCCGGUCUGGGGGGAUGAACGGCCAAAAUGGGACUGGGACACGGCCCAGACUCCUACGGGAAGGAGCAGUGGGGAAUCUUCCGCAAUGGACGAAAGUCUGGCGGAGCAAAGCCGCGGGAGUGAUGACGGCCUUCGGGUUGGAAAGCUCUGUUAAUCGGGACGCGGUACCGGAAGAGAAAGCCACGGCUAACUACGUGCCAGCAGCCGCGGUAAUUC
rnacentral:rRNA from 1 species